rnacentral:rRNA from 1 species
ACGGAGAGUUUGAUCCUGGCUCAGGAUGAACGCUGGCGGCGUGCUUAACACAUGCAAGUCGAACGAACCUUCGGGUUAGUGGCGGACGGGUGAGUAACGCGUGAGAAUCUGCCCUCAGGAGGGGGAUAACGGUUGGAAACGACCGCUAAUACCCCAUAUGCCGCGAGGUGAAAUGAAUUUCGCCUGAGGAUGAGCUCGCGUCUGAUUAGCUAGUUGGUGGGGUAAAGGCCUACCAAGGCAUCGAUCAGUAGCUGGUCUGAGAGGAUGAUCAGCCACACUGGGACUGAGACACGGCCCAGACUCCUACGGGAGGCAGCAGUGGGGAAUUUUCCGCAAUGGGCGAAAGCCUGACGGAGCAACGCCGCGUGAGGGAUGAAGGCCUCUGGGCUGUAAACCUCUUUUAUCAAGGAAGAAGAUCUGACGGUACUUGAUGAAUAAGCCACGGCUAAUUCCGUGCCAGCAGCCGCGGUAAUACGGGAGUGGCAAGCGUUAUCCGGAAUUAUUGGGCGUAAAGCGUCCGCAGGCGGCCCUUCAAGUCUGCUGUUAAAAAGUGGAGCUUAACUCCAUCAUGGCAGUGGAAACUGUUGGGCUUGAGUGUGGUAGGGGCAGAGGGAAUUCCCGGUGUAGCGGUGAAAUGCGUAGAUAUCGGGAAGAACACCAGUGGCGAAGGCGCUCUGCUGGGCCAUCACUGACGCUCAUGGACGAAAGCCAGGGGAGCGAAAGGGAUUAGAUACCCCUGUAGUCCUGGCCGUAAACGAUGAACACUAGGUGUCGGGGGAAUCGACCCCCUCGGUGUCGUAGCCAACGCGUUAAGUGUUCCGCCUGGGGAGUACGCACGCAAGUGUGAAACUCAAAGGAAUUGACGGGGGCCCGCACAAGCGGUGGAGUAUGUGGUUUAAUUCGAUGCAACGCGAAGAACCUUACCAGGGUUUGACAUCCUGCGAAUCUCUUGGAAACGAGAGAGUGCCUUCGGGAACGCAGUGACAGGUGGUGCAUGGCUGUCGUCAGCUCGUGUCGUGAGAUGUUGGGUUAAGUCCCGCAACGAGCGCAACCCACGUCUUUAGUUGCCAGCAUUUAGUUGGGCACUCUAGAGAGACCGCCGGUGAUAAACCGGAGGAAGGUGUGGAUGACGUCAAGUCAUCAUGCCCCUUACAUCCUGGGCUACACACGUACUACAAUGCUACGGACAAAGGGCAGCAAGUUCGCGAGGACAAGCAAAUCCCAUAAACCGUGGCUCAGUUCAGAUCGUAGGCUGCAACUCGCCUACGUGAAGGAGGAAUCGCUAGUAAUCGCAGGUCAGCAUACUGCGGUGAAUACGUUCCCGGGCCUUGUACACACCGCCCGUCACACCAUGGAAGUUGGCCACGCCCGAAGCCGUUACUCCAACCCUCGGGAGGAGGACGUCGAAGGUGGGGCUGAUGACUGGGGUGAAGUCGUAACAAGGUAUCCGUACCGGAAGGUGCGGAUGGAUCACCUCCU